rfam:Myotis brandtii contig261998, whole genome shotgun sequence.
GGUGGUUCUCCAGUGACGCACCCCAGAAUCGGGCUUCCUCCUCUCUGGUUCUGGGUGCAUCACCUGAGAACAGCA